AGCGGCGAACGGGUGAGUAACGCGUGAGCAAUCUACCUUAGUUACAGGGAUAGCCCGAGGAAACUCGGAUUAAUACCUGAUAUUCUUUAUUUCUCGCAUGAGAAUGAAAGGAAAGGUCAGCCGAACUAAGAUGAGCUCGCGUUCUAUCAGCUAGUUGGUGAGGUAAAAGCUUACCAAGGCUACGACGGAUAGCUGGUCUGAGAGGACGAUCAGCCACACUGGGACUGAGACACGGCCCAGACUCCUACGGGAGGCUGCAGCAGGGAAUAUUGUGCAAUGAACGAAAGUUUGACACAGCGACACCGCGUGUGGGAUGACGGAUCUAGGUUUGUAAACCACUUUCAGGAGGGAAGAAAAUGACGGUACCUCCACAAGAAGCCCCGGCCAACUACGUGCCAGCAGCCGCGGUAAUACGUAGGGGGCGAGCGUUGUCCGGAUUUAUUGGGCGUAAAGAGCUCGUAGGCGGUUCAACAAGUCGGUCGUGAAAGUUCAGGGCUCAACCCUGAAAUGUCGAUCGAUACUGUUGUGACUAGGAUACGGUAGAGGUGAGUGGAAUUCCGAGUGUAGCGGUGAAAUGCGUAGAUAUUCGGAGGAACACCAACUGCGAAGGCAGCUCACUGGACCGCUAUCGACACUGAGGAGCGAAAGCUAGGGGAG
rnacentral:rRNA from 1 species